ACGCGCAAAAACUUGGUAUAUGGAUGCAACUUUUCGGGUGGUGAACAAGCCAUGGUCUCAGCUGUUUUCCAUCCACGCCUUCAUUAAGACUGGAGAGACCACCCGACAGUUACCAUUGGUGUUUUGUGUAAUGUCGGGUAAAAGCCAAGACGACUAUUAUAAGUUUCAAUAUUGGAUGUAUAUGCAAAUCACCCAGAAAAAGAUCAUGUAAUAACAAAAGAAAUUAUAAAAGAAAAAAAUGGAAGAAGAAAUGGCUGGAAAAAAUGAUGAUAGAGCAGCUUUUUCUUGUUACCCACCUCGGAAGAUCAAGUUGGAAAGGGCUAUUGAUAUUGUGGAGACGUUUUCUCACAGAUCUUGCUUAUCAGACAAAGACUAUGUAAGUACCAUGCAUAUUUGCUUUUUAAAUCAGGAACUGGUUCUAUACACUUGGU